CCUACGGGAGGCAGCAGUGGGGAAUAUUGCACAAUGGGGGAAACCCUGAUGCAGCGACGCCGCGUGAGUGAAGAAGUAUUUCGGUAUGUAAAGCUCUAUCAGCAGGGAAGAAAUAGCGACCUUUGGGUCGCCAGACGGUACCUGAUUCAGACGCCCCGACUAACUACGUGCCAGCAGCGGCGGUAAUACGUAGGGGGAAAGCGUUAUCAGGAUUUACUGGGUGUAAAGGGAGCGUAGACGGCAGCGCAAGUCUGAAGUGAAAUGCCGGGGCUUAACCCCGGAACUGCGUUUGAAACUGUGCAGCUAGAGGGCAGGAGAGGUAAGUGGAAUUGCUAGUGUAGCGGUGAAAUGCGUAGAUAUUAGGAGGAACACCAGUGGCGAAGGCGGCUUACUGGACUGUAACUGACGUUGAGGCUCGAAAGCGUGGGGAGCAAACAGGAUUAGAUACCCCUGUAGUC
rnacentral:rRNA from 1 species